GCGUAGUGCUUCCCUGUGAGGGAGGCGAGAACAUGGCGGAAGCAGAGUGAGGGGUUCGUACGCAGAGCGGGUGCCUUUUCUCCCCCUCUCACGGAUGUGGCCAUGACUAGAUCUGAACAAUAGAAAUAUGAGACGACGACAUCUUGGCAAAACCGUUCUGGCUUUCAAACCAUAUGCUCCAAUUUUAAGCCAAGAAUUGUCUGCUGCUGUGUUUGAGGCAGAAGAAACAUCCCCAUUUGCACGCGUUCGCACAGUCACCUGUUUCCCAGCCCUUUUCUUGUCUCUUGGUGUUCCUGUACCCGUCUUGCUUAAUGUUGGCUCCUUAGAGG